rnacentral:rRNA from 1 species
AGCAGCAGCGCGGUAAUACGUAGGUCCCGAGCGUUGUCCGGAUUUAUUGGGCGUAAAGCGAGCGCAGGCGGUUAGAUAAGUCUGAAGUUAAAGGCUGUGGCUUAACCAUAGUACGCUUUGGAAACUGUUUAACUUGAGUGCAAGAGGGGAGAGUGGAAUUCCAUGUGUAGCGGUGAAAUGCGUAGGGAUGUGGAGGAACACCAGUGGCGAAGGCGGCUCUCUGGACUGUAACUGACGCUGAGGCGCGAAAGCGUGGGGAGCAAACAGGAUUAGAGACCCCCGUAGUCCCUGUCUCUUAUACAA